AACGCGAAGAACCUUACCUGGUCUUGACAUCCACGGAAGUUUUCAGAGAUGAGAAUGUGCCUUCGGGAACCGUGAGACAGGUGCUGCAUGGCUGUCGUCAGCUCGUGUUGUGAAAUGUUGGGUUAAGUCCCGCAACGAGCGCAACCCUUAUCCUUUGUUGCCAGCGGUCCGGCCGGGAACUCAAAGGAGACUGCCAGUGAUAAACUGGAGGAAGGUGGGGAUGACGUCAAGUCAUCAUGGCCCUUACGACCAGGGCUACACACGUGCUACAAUGGCGCAUACAAAGAGAAGCGACCUCGCGAGAGCAAGCGGACCUCAUAAAGUGCGUCGUAGUCCGGAUUGGAGUCUGCAACUCGACUCCAUGAAGUCGGAAUCGCUAGUAAU
rnacentral:rRNA from 1 species